rnacentral:rRNA from 1 species
AUUGAACGCUGGCGGAAUGCUUUACACAUGCAAGUCGAACGGCAGCACGGGGGCAACCCUGGUGGCGAGUGGCGAACGGGUGAGUAAUACAUCGGAACGUGCCCAGUCGUGGGGGAUAACGUAGCGAAAGUUACGCUAAUACCGCAUACGAUCUACGGAUGAAAGCGGGGGAUCGCAAGACCUCGCGCGAUUGGAGCGGCCGAUGUCAGAUUAGGUAGUUGGUGGGGUAAAGGCUCACCAAGCCGACGAUCUGUAGCUGGUCUGAGGGGACGACCAGCCACACUGGGACUGAGACACGGCCCAGACUCCUACGGGAGGCAGCAGUGGGGAAUUUUGGACAAUGGGCGCAAGCCUGAUCCAGCAAUGCCGCGUGCAGGAUGAAGGCCUUCGGGUUGUAAACUGCUUUUGUACGGAACGAAACGGUGAGCUCUAAUAAAGCUUGCUAAUGACGGUACCGUAAGAAUAAGCACCGGCUAACUACGUG